CACUCCCAGGAGCUGGGUCGGAGCAUUCCUGUUGCUCCACUUCCUUGGCAACAUUUGACUUGAACAGAUUUCUUAACAUUCGCUAAUCUUGUGGGUGCGAAAUAGCAGUUUCAAUUCUCAUGAGUCCCAUCUGUUCAGGCCAGAGGUUGCAAGCCAGCUGUGCAUGGCUGAAUGAGGCCUGCAGUCUGGAUGCCAUCUGUGGAUGUGUUUUAUUUGACUGAAGGGUGUUUUUCGAACCAAAAAAUUGAAUUAGUUGCCAACAAUUGAAAAUUGGAAUCGUUCACUUAAGAAUCCGGGUUUCUGUUUGUUUGUUUUUUCUUUUCUUGAGGGAAAAAAUGAAAAGACAUUGCUACACGGGUUCCAUAUUCACACAUGACAACUGGUGGUAGCUGGGAAGGGCUGUCUCUGCUUCUCAGCUGAGGAUAUGCCUGGCAGUUGGCCACACUCCCUCCGACAGCCAACCUCUCACUUUUGGCCACCUUAGUUUCCUGGCUCCAUAGGUUUUUAGAUUGUCUGCUCUGUUUCAAGCCUUCAUAAGACAGAGAAAACCCUCAAAAGUGGACAGUGGUAGAUGGGUACCCCUCCAUCCAAACCUGACCAGGGAUCGCCCUGCACAGCCCAGCACUGGACACGUGGCUCCAGAUAAACACUACAACAGCUGCUGAGCUCAAGGCCACUUCCUCCCUGAAACCUUUGCGUGUUCACUUCCCUGUGCUGAGGGCUGCCUCCCUUCCCUGCCCCUUCCUCAGAUGUGAUCUUCCCUGACUCUCCACUUGCUGAGUCCCUUUCUCGGCACUAUUCUUGAGCCACCUGUUUCUUCCCCCAUGUAGUAUGGUUAUUUGUGGACUUGCCCCUUUCCUCUCUUUUGCUGAAAGCUCCUUGAGGUUUGGGGCCAUGUGUUUACAUGUCUGUUUUUUCAAUGUUUGCUUAUGGUCCUUCAUGGUACUUUAAGUGGUAGCUUGCACAUGGAGGUUUCAUUCAUUCAUUUCAACAAACAUUUACUAAUUGCUCAAAUGCCAGGUAUUGUGCUCGGCACUAGAACUAGGAGAUGCCAUCAUUGCCUUCAAGGAUCUGGCAGCCCCCUGGGGGAAAGGAACAGAUUUGGUCAUUCAUUUAUUCACUCAUUCAUUCUUUCAAACAACAAACUUAUGUUGAGUGCUUGCUAAGGGCCAGGCAUAAAGUUAGGUGCUGGGAAGCAAAACCUGACAAGAUCCUUGCCUCAUGGAGCUUACAGACUAGUGAGGAUACAGACAUUCAGUUGCCUAUGACUCAAGAGGCUGACCUAGUCUGGAAGUUGGGCAUGGGAAGGCAAGGUGAGACUUGAGCUGAUUUGAAUGAUGAGUAGAACUUAACCAGAGGAAGGAGGGACGCGGAAAGGAAGAGUGGAAACACAUCCCCUCAGAAGAGUCAGCCUGUGUGAAAGCCUUCAGGUAGAAGGGAGAAGGCUCAGCUCACAGACCAGGAAGUAGAGUGAGUAUGGCUUGAGCCCAGAGUGUCUGGCACAGGACAGUGGGAGCUGAGGCUAGAGAUGUAGGUAAGGGCCAAACCCCAGCUAGAAAUUAGCGCAGCCAAGUGUUUAGGUGUUAAAAUAGAGGGGCAUACGAUCGACAGAUUUGGUUGUUGAUUGAAUUAAUGCACAGUAAGUGAAUGUAUGAAUGACUGUUCUAGAAACUUGCCAUCUAAUAGGGAAGACUGACAGGAUGCCUGCUAGAUGGUGUGUUGCUGUCGGUUAAUUAGGAAGGAGCAGAAUGGCUGCUGAACGCUUGAAAGACCUGCAAAUUCUGCACUAGCUACAGGAAGAAAAAUCCCGUGAGCCUGGAGAGUUAUUAAAGAUGGAUGGCUUUUGGCCCUCACACCUGACUGGAAAUGGAAUAGCCUUCUCCAGGCUUCCAUAGUCCCUGAAAAGAAGAGGAUUGUUGCCUGAGGAGGAUUAGCUGAAAUAGGUCCAUAAUGAGCCAGCCCUAAGUCAUUGACAGCACUUGGCACUUAACUACAAGGAGCAAGUCCUAUUUCUUAAGCACUUGCCUUACUAGUAUAUCUCAAGGCUUCUGAGGCGAACAGUCCUAACAAGUAGUUUUUCUCCUUCUGCUUCACUGAGGCUGACCAAAAGCUUCUUGCCCCUGAGUUGAUAUUCUAGGCCAUGCUGGUGGCAGAGCUCUCUCAGUACACUACUGAAAUCUAAAGCAUCCUUGGGGAAAGCUCCCUUUUGACCCAGUGCCACUCUGAAGAGUGGAGGAAUGUUUCCCACAUAAAGUUUAUUACAGCUGAUUCCUGAAAAUUACAGCUAAGAAGUGUGAGACCCUGCUGCCCUGUGGCUGGGUUGCUCAUUCAUUCUCUUGUUGUUAAUUUACCAGGUGUUCAGAAAAGAAGCCUUCUGUCACUCUGAUACUUGGUGGCACCCACCUCUGUCCCUUUGCUCAAGCCUUACUUCUGCCUAGAAUGCCCUCCCUCACUUAAAGGGCUGUGUCAUCCACAAAUAAUACCAGCCCACAAUCUACAUCUCCUUCCUGACUUGCCCAUAACUCUUACCAAUUACUCAUGCAUUUUUUAUAUGAUUGUGUCCAGGCUCUUCAACAAGAUGACAACUUAGUAGUAGGCUGCAUCGGUCUGGGGAAGAACCAAGGGCAGCUACAAAGUGCAAAGCAACUUCACAGCUGCCAGAGGGACACCAUGCCUAAGGUGGGAACACCAGUAAUGAUGAAUGAGACCGGACUGAGGUUCAUUCGCUUGGAAAGGCUGCGAAUAAGAAGCCAUCACUUAUACCCCAGGCCCUUUGAGUGCUGACUUUUUUGAUCUUUUCCAGUUCUGGGGUGCUGAUGGGAGAACCACAGGCUUCCACAUAAGGAAGAAUGCUCUACCCAGUGGAAUUUUCCAGUAGCAACCUGAGCUGUCACUGAUGGUAGAAUAGAGUUCUCCACUGAUGGAUAUAUGUAAACAUGAUGAAGAAGGUUUGAAGAAACAAGAUUUGAAAAAGAAAUGAAGGUUUUGGACAUCAGCAUUUCCCAAGUUUGCUUAAUGAUGAAAUAAUUUCAUAAUUAUAAGAUGAAUUGAAUCGUGUCUCUGGAAAUGGGCCUUUGGACCUGCCUCUUUAACAUAGUCCCAGAGGAGUCAAGCGCUCGCUCAAGACUGGGAACCAUGGGGGCCCAGUCUGCUCCCCAACUGCUGCAGAAUCAUCCUUCUGUGCCCAAAUUCAAACUUGACACGUCAAGUAUUCUCCAGAGGGAUUCUCCUAUGGAGUUCCAGCUGCCUCAGGACUGACACUGAAGCUUGAAUUUGCAGGUGGCCAUCCACUCUCAAGGGAAGCCUGAGCCCAAGAAUGAAGCUAACAUAGCAGAAAGCAAAACUAAAAAAUGGAGAGACAUGAAUUCUUGGUGUCACCAUUUGACCAUUUGGAUCAAGCCAUACCUGAAGGAAGUCUGCCUAUUCCACUGCAUUUCCAAGAGUCAGAAACAGGAUGGGUGACAUCUGCAGUUGAAACCAGGCCAUGUUGUUGAACAGUUG